rnacentral:rRNA from 1 species
UACGUAGGUGGCGAGCGUUGUCCGGAUUUACUGGGCGUAAAGGGAGCGUAGGCGGACUUUUAAGUGAGAUGUGAAAUACCCGGGCUCAACUUGGGUGCUGCAUUUCAAACUGGAAGUCUAGAGUGCAGGAGAGGAGAAUGGAAUUCCUAGUGUAGCGGUGAAAUGCGUAGAUAUUAGGAGGAACACCAGUUGCGAAGGCGGCUCUCUGGACUGUAACUGACACUGAGGCACGAAAGCGUGGGGAGCAAACAGGAUUAGAUACCCGCGUA